rnacentral:rRNA from 1 species
AGCGAACGCUGGCGGCAGGCUUAACACAUGCAAGUCGAACGCCCGGGCAACCGGGAGUGGCAGACGGGUGAGUAACGCGUGGGAACGUACCCUUUGGUUCGGAAUAACUCAGGGAAACUUGAGCUAAUACCGGAUAAGCCCUUUUGGGGAAAGAUUUAUCGCCGAAGGAUCGGCCCGCGUCCGAUUAGCUAGUUGGUGAGGUAAUGGCUCACCAAGGCGACGAUCGGUAGCUGGUCUGAGAGGAUGAUCAGCCACACUGGGACUGAGACACGGCCCAGACUCCUACGGGAGGCAGCAGUGGGGAAUAUUGGACAAUGGGGGCAACCCUGAUCCAGCCAUGCCGCGUGAGUGAUGAAGGCCCUAGGGUUGUAAAGCUCUUUCGGCGGGGACGAUAAUGACGGUACCCGCAGAAGAGGCCCCGGCUAACUUCGUGCCAGCCGCCGCCGUAA